rnacentral:rRNA from 1 species
AGAUUGAACGCUGGCGGCAGGCCUAACACAUGCAAGUCGAGCGGCAGCACGGGUACUUGUACCUGGUGGCGAGCGGCGGACGGGUGAGUAAUGCCUAGGAAUCUGCCUGGUAGUGGGGGAUAACGCUCGGAAACGGCGCUAAAUACCGCAUACGUCCUACGGGAGAAAGCAGGGGACCUUCGGGCCUUGCGCUAUCAGAUGAGCCUAGGUCGGAUUAGCUAGUUGGUGAGGUAAGUGGCUCACCGAAGGCGACGAUCCGUAACGUGUCUGAGAGGAUGAUCAGUACACACGUGGACUGAGACGACGGUCCAGUACCUCCGUACGGGAGCAGCGAGUGGGAA